UGUUCUGUGGCUUAGUCGGUUGAAGCGCUGGACUAGCGAAACAGAGUCGUGGGUUCGAAUCCCACCAAAACGA
rfam:Aedes albopictus isolate Foshan contig111394, whole genome shotgun sequence.